GCCUGGGUGGCUCAGUCGGUUGAGCGUCUGACUUCAGCUCAGGUCAUGAUCUCAUGGUUCGUGGGUUCGAGGCCCCGUGUCGGGUU
rnacentral:tRNA from 1 species